UACGUAGGGGGCAAGCGUUGUCCGGAUUUACUGGGCGUAAAGAGCGUGUAGGCGGCCACGCAGGUCCGUUGUGAAAACUGGAGGCUCAACCUUCAGACGUCGACGGAAACCGUGUGGCUAGAGUCCGGAAGAGGAGAGUGGAAUUCCUGGUGUAGCGGUGAAAUGCGCAGAUAUCAGGAAGAACACCAAUGGCGAAGGCAGCUCGCUGGGACGGUACUGACGCUAAGGCGCGAAAGCGUGGGGAGCGAACAGG
rnacentral:rRNA from 1 species